UGCCUCGACCUUCACCUGCUUGGCCUCAGCCAUCUGCUCCGCCAUCAGUUUAGUCGCAGCCACCAGUGUUUACUCAACCAUGAUCUUCUGUCCAGCUUUAGUUUGCUGCAUAGUCCAUCCAAUUGUCUACUAGUCAGAGUAGACCACCUUUCAGAGUAUACACUAGAGCUGGAGUCGGAUUUUUCACAUCUUCGAGGGUUAAUCCAUCGGGCAGGAUUA
rnacentral:lncRNA from 1 species